CAUGACAUAGCAGUUGGUCAAUUCUCCUGCUUGGUUUCCAAAAUUCUGACCGUGGGUCACCACUGACACAAACUAACGUCUAUCUGUAAGAAAUGAGAAAGAGGCAAUUGGAAAGGAGAAAAAGAGGGGACAGAUUGAGCAGAGAGGGUUCCCACAGCAAACUGUUCCUUGCUUGGAGUCAAGCAACUCUUAGAACGCAGACAGCAAAGACAAAAAGAAUCCGGUGAAAAUGCACCUUUUGCGUCCUCAAUACACGGCACAGACGGCGACAGGGAGGGGCAGAAGAUGCAGCUAAGGCUGUGCCUCACAGCUCAGAGAUGCUCAGGGCUGGAUACCGACUUGGAUCUCCUACCUCAGAUGGAAGCAAAUUUCCUUGUGAUGUUCCAGAAAGAAGCGUACCGCCAGAAAUUAUCAUAACACUUCCUACACCGGGAGCUGGAGAACCCAGCAGGUGUCGAGCACAAGAAACAAAACCAAAGAGAUACCAAAAGAUAAAAAAGGAAAGCAAAAGGAGCUAAUACUCCAACGCAAAUGAAGCAGACGAUCGUACGUAUUCUCAGGAAACAGCAACCUUGUCUUCAAAUGUCUGUGAACUAAAGAUUUCUCAGGACAGCUUUCCACUACACACGAAGGAUUCAGCGUAGCAAUCUUUGCUUGCCUUAGUGGAUUACAAACCUUGCUUAUUCCAAAAAAGAAGCAUGUAUUUAACUUUCUCAAAUAUAUGAUAUGCAACUCUUAUUUUCACUUGCUGGGAGAAAAGACUAAAAAAUAGUGUUUCACCUUGCUUCUUUUGCCAGUGCAAACCUGACUAAUUCUUACCCUCAUUGCCACUUCUUCUUUAAUCUUCCCUAAUCUAGGUUGCGCGAUAACACAUUCCCAACCUUUUGGAGAGGUGG
rnacentral:lncRNA from 1 species